GGAGCUCCCCCAGCAGUCUUCCUCCCAGCCCUCAGCCUCAGGUGCAGCAAGGAUGAGAGAAGGUGACUUAACUUUGCCAGUAUGGAAUACAGCCCAGACCUUUGCCUUGGUUAUGCUUCCUCUGGAGGAUUUAGACAGACAAGGAGCAAGGAGAUCUUGCAUAUGUAACAGGAGAAAAUCUGGCCCAUUUAUGUUGAAUUUUGGAGCCACAUUGU